AAUCAACGCUGGCGGCGUGCCUAACACAUGCAAGUCGAACGCGAAAGCCCCGAAAGGGGUCAGUAGAGUGGCAAACGGGUGAGUAACACGUGGGUGACCUGCCUUCGAGUGGGGGAUAACGUCCCGAAAGGGACGCUAAUACCGCAUAACAUCCUGCCUUUGAAGAGGCGGACAUACAAAGCGUGGGGAUCGCAAGACCUCGCGCUUGAAGGACGGGGCCCGCGCCUGAUUAGCUAGUUGGNGGGGUAAUGGCUCACCAAGGCAACGAUCAGUAUCCGGCCUGAGGAGGGCGGACGGACACACUGGGACUGAGACACGGCCCAGACUCCGUACGGGAGGCAGCAGUGGGGAAUUGUUCGCAAUGGGCGCAAGCCUGACGACGCAACGCCGCGUGGAGGAUGAAGACCUGGGUCGUAAC
rnacentral:rRNA from 1 species